CGGAAACAGAGCCAGAGGAAGAAGACGGAAGAUGCAAGAAGAAACCUGCUGCAGUUGCAGGCCACUGACUCUUUCCAUUUCAUCGACGGUAGCUGUCAUGUCUGAGUCAUGAUCGGACGGUCCACACUGGCCGUUUCUUGUUUGUCCGUGAUGAACGGCGAAAUUACAAAAAAGUCCGUUAUUUUUGUGGUUUUUUUUUCCUUUGCCGCGGUUUUUUUCUUCCGUUACGUGUGGGUCCGGUUCAAACUAUCAACGCCGUCGGCGGAGGAGAGUAGAGUGGGCGCGCACUAAGCUAAUCUUGGUCUUGUAUUCAUCCGAAACUCGAAUUUCCAUAAUGACGAAACUGCCCUCCAUUUCAUUGCAUGACCGUUGUUAUUUUACUCUAUUUCUCUGUCAUACGAUAGUGUUAUGUCAAUUUGAUG